AUUGAACGCUGGCGGCAUGCCUUACACAUGCAAGUCGAACGGCAGCACGGGAGCAAUCCUGGUGGCGAGUGGCGAACGGGUGAGUAAUAUAUCGGAACGUGCCCAGUCGUGGGGGAUAACGUAGCGAAAGCUACGCUAAUACCGCAUACGAUCUAUGGAUGAAAGCGGGGGAUCGCAAGACCUCGCGCGAUUGGAGCGGCCGAUAUCAGAUUAGGUAGUUGGUGAGGUAAAGGCUCACCAAGCCGACGAUCUGUAGCUGGUCUGAGAGGACGACCAGCCACACUGGGACUGAGACACGGCCCAGACUCCUACGGGAGGCAGCAGUGGGGAAUUUUUGGGACAAUGGGCGCAAGCCUGAUCCAGCAAUGCCGCGUGCAGGAUGAAGGCCUUCGGUUGUAAC
rnacentral:rRNA from 1 species